CUGUGGUUCAUUCCUCCUGCGCAUCCCCAGCAGGGUGGGUGGGAGCCAGCAGCUUUGCUGACACUUCAAGUUUCCAUGCCGAAACCACAGCAUUAGUAUAAGCGCUCCGCAACUUCAGAGGAGGCAAACUUCAGAAUGGCCGCCAGCCUCCAUCUGCAGCUCCUAAUUGAGCCUUGCCCGCAGAGAUCAACACCAGCAGCUGCCUCUUCUUGGUUACUUCCCGGAGAUUCCAAGCUCAGCCUACAACUGUAGGGCAACACGUAUGCUUUCCAGGGAGGUGAGCUGCUAUACGAUGGUCGUCCCAUUGUCAAGCCACGUUCAGCCAUGGACUAUGAGCAAGAGGCCCGGGAAGCCUUGAGUGAAGAGGAGGUAAUGACAGCCGCAGCCUGUCGACCCUAUGCUUCUCGUAAUGGGGCUAAGACAGCCAUGGCUUUUAAGGAGCAGGGUGCCGUGCUGACACAGAAGGGGCAGGGACUCUGGAGCCAGGGACAGUGAUCAAAGGCAAAUUUACUCACUGUUAGCUUUGUUAAAAAUGAUGGGCUGGGUGUGGUGACACACAUCUGUAAUCCUCAGCACUUGGAGGCUGAGGCAGGAGGAUCACAAGUUCAACACCAGCCUGGGCUACAUGGCGAGUUCAAGGCUGCUCUGGACUACACAGCAGGACUGUUUCAAAACAAAAAUUAGGGCAAAAUAUACAUAACAAAGUUGGCCAUUUUAACCAUUUCAAGUGUAACACCUGUGUUAAGUACAUUCAUGUUAUUUUGUGUCACCACCUUCUACCUCCAGAAUUCUUCCUUCUUCCCAAGCUGAAACUUCAACAAGGACUUCCGCUUCUCACUGCCACCUGGCCGUCACCUUUCUUCUUUGUGUCUUUAUAGAUCUGCCUGCUGUAGGCACCUCAUAGGAGUACAAUCUUAAAAAUAUUUGUCCACCCUGAGUGGCUGACACAGUCUAUGAGGUUCUUUCACGUCAUGGCUCGGCCGGACUAGCCUUGCUUGGUACAGCCGGGCGACGUCACACUGGACAGAUGUAUCACGCUGUGUCUGUCUGUCCUGUGUCGGUGGACACCCGGGCGCCGUUGUGAUAGAUGAACCCCCAAAGCCACGCACUCAGGCGGCGCUGGUGGAAGGUGACUGAAUUACAGGGCUGCGGCUGACUUGCUGUUAGGAGGGAGUCUGACGGACGCGCCGGGCACUGAAUGCGUGACGUGGAAGGGUGUACUCUCUUCCGGCUCCCACCUUCGCUCUGCUCCUAGCCCUCACCAGGUGAGCAGCCUCGCUCUCCUCGGGCCCUUCAGCCAGUCUGCCGACCAUGCAAGACUGAAACCUGUCAAAUGUGAGCCAAAAUAAAUAUCUCCUUUAACUGCAGGCAUUAGGUUUUGUCCCAGGGAUGAGGAAAGGCACUAAGUCGAGGCAGCUUCCUCCUUUGGCUACUUGAACAAUGCUGCUAUGAACGUGGGCGCGCAACUAUCUCUUGGAGACCUUGCUUUCAAUUAUUUUGAAUAUAUAUCUGGAAGUGAGAUUGCUGGAUUACAUGGUGAUUCUAUGCCUAAUUCUGAGGAUUGUAGAAGUGAGCUGUUUGCUGCAUUUUUCACAAAUUGGACAUGCUUAUGUCACCAGGGCACAACCAGCACGCCAUAAGAAGCCCACAUACUCUUCCGGUUUCUACCUUACUCCGUGAAUCACCAUUACCCUAACUUUCAACAGCAUAGGCUGGAUAGAGAUGCCACCAGGAAACCAAUGGGCACCGAGCCAUCAGCCUCCCAUCUGAUAGAUGUCCAAGUCACCUACCAGGGCUGUCCUUGUGUACAGGUAUCACCAGGUGCGCUGAUCUGGGUACAUUUUUCCAACUGAGAAGGGGCUCGAUAUUACUCACAUUGAGCUUCCUGUCCUCUGUAAAUAAGGCAGAACAACUUCCCGGUGCCCUGGAUUCUGCAUAGGUGAGCCAAGAAUCCCCGGAUGUAAAACCAGAGAGGGCUGGGCGUGAUAGCCCAUGCCUGUAAUCCUAGCUACU
ensembl:lncRNA